rnacentral:lncRNA from 1 species
AUGAACCCAUAGAAGAAUCAGCUGCUGAUGACUUUGAGUAUGCUGCGAGUUGUGAAGACGUGGGACAUGCUAUGAUUACUGCAUCCCAGCCUUCCAGUUUGCAAACCAUGAAAUCGUUACCCCAACAAGUCAAUAUGAAAAAAGUGGUGUUAGAAAAUGAAGGAGAUGCAUCCUCUCAACUUCCCUGCAUUUUGCAACCGUGUGAGGAUGGCAAUGAACUAGAGGAUCAAGUUUUGGAGAUGCAGAAGAGUACCCCAAUCAUUAACUCACAUAAAGGUAUUGCCACAGGCGAAACGUCAAGUUAUGCACCCGAAAAUAUCCCCGAGGACAUUCAUUGUUGGUCUUUUUACCUAUAUGUUUUGCUCGAUAUUUCAUAUCAUGCCUGUGUUCCUUUUAUGGUCAAAAUAUCUGUUUGGUUGGUUUGCAGUUGAUGAAUUGCAAGAAGCGCCACCUACCAUUAGCAAAGAGAGUCUUAGCCAGCAUUUUGGGAAAUCACUAGAUGAAGCAAGAGAGAUAUUUGGUGGUAAUUUUUAUUGUGACAUUUCCAUUAUAAAAUAUCAAUGUUGUUGCAUUAGUAAAGCUCUGUAACUUGUUUUAUAUGUUCACUAUUGUAGUUAGUCGAUCUGAAUUUAAAAGGAGGUGCAGAGAUGUUGGUAUUAAAAGGUGGCAAUAUGGCAAGAGAAAGAUGGGUAGCAACCGUUCUUCAAAGCACAAGCAAAGACUAAACAAUGGGUAUUCGACAGACAUGCCUCAUGUGCAAGAUCAACCUGUUAUUUCCCAUACAACCCGGGUCUUGAAUACGAUGGAUGUAAAGGUGAUGUAUAACGACCUCAUUAUAAGGUUUGAACUGCCUGAACUAUCAGGAAUAUCAGAGUUAGAAGACAAUGUGAUUAAGAGGCUGCACUUGGAUANNNNNNNNNNNNNNNNNNNNNNNNNNNNNNNNNNNNNNNNNNNNNNNNNNNNNNNNNNNNNNNNNNNNNNNNNNNNNNNNNNNNNNNNNNNNNNNNNNNNNNNNNNNNNNNNNNNNNNNNNNNNNNNNNNNNNNNNNNNNNNNNNNNNNNNNNNNNNNNNNNNNNNNNNNNNNNNNNNNNNNNNNNNNNNNNNNNNNNNNNNNNNNNNNNNNNNNNNNNNNNNNNNNNNNNNNNNNNNNNNNNNNNNNNNNNNNNNNNNNNNNNNNNNNNNNNNNNNNNNNNNNNNNNNNNNNNNNNNNNNNNNNNNNNNNNNNNNNNNNNNNNNNNNNNNNNNNNNNNNNNNNNNNNNNNNNNNNNNNNNNNNNNNNNNNNNNNNNNNNNNNNNNNNNNNNNNNNNNNNNNNNNNNNNNNNNNNNNNNNNNNNNNNNNNNNNNNNNNNNNNNNNNNNNNNNNNNNNNNNNNNNNNNNNNNNNNNNNNNNNNNNNNNNNNNNNNNNNNNNNNNNNNNNNNNNNNNNNNNNNNNNNNNNNNNNNNNNNNNNNNNNNNNNNNNNNNNNNNNNNNNNNNNNNNNNNNNNNNNNNNNNNNNNNNNNNNNNNNNNNNNNNNNNNNNNNNNNNNNNNNNNNNNNNNNNNNNNNNNNNNNNNNNNNNNNNNNNNNNNNNNNNNNNNNNNNNNNNNNNNNNNNNNNNNNNNNNNNNNNNNNNNNNNNNNNNNNNNNNNNNNNNNNNNNNNNNNNNNNNNNNNNNNNNNNNNNNNNNNNNNNNNNNNNNNNNNNNNNNNNNNNNNNNNNNNNNNNNNNNNNNNNNNNNNNNNNNNNNNNNNNNNNNNNNNNNNNNNNNNNNNNNNNNNNNNNNNNNNNNNNNNNNNNNNNNNNNNNNNNNNNNNNNNNNNNNNNNNNNNNNNNNNNNNNNNNNNNNNNNNNNNNNNNNNNNNNNNNNNNNNNNNNNNNNNNNNNNNNNNNNNNNNNNNNNNNNNNNNNNNNNNNNNNNNNNNNNNNNNNNNNNNNNNNNNNNNNNNNNNNNNNNNNNNNNNNNNNNNNNNNNNNNNNNNNNNNNNNNNNNNNNNNNNNNNNNNNNNNNNNNNNNNNNNNNNNNNNNNNNNNNNNNNNNNNNNNNNNNNNNNNNNNNNNNNNNNNNNNNNNNNNNNNNNNNNNNNNNNNNNNNNNNNNNNNNNNNNNNNNNNNNNNNNNNNNNNNNNNNNNNNNNNNNNNNNNNNNNNNNNNNNNNNNNNNNNNNNNNNNNNNNNNNNNNNNNNNNNNNNNNNNNNNNNNNNNNNNNNNNNNNNNNNNNNNNNNNNNNNNNNNNNNNNNNNNNNNNNNNNNNNNNNNNNNNNNNNNNNNNNNNNNNNNNNNNNNNNNNNNNNNNNNNNNNNNNNNNNNNNNNNNNNNNNNNNNNNNNNNNNNNNNNNNNNNNNNNNNNNNNNNNNNNNNNNNNNNNNNNNNNNNNNNNNNNNNNNNNNNNNNNNNNNNNNNNNNNNNNNNNNNNNNNNNNNNNNNNNNNNNNNNNNNNNNNNNNNNNNNAAUUGCAAGAAGCGCCACCUACCAUUAGCAAAGAGAGUCUUAGCCAGCAUUUUGGGAAAUCACUAGAUGAAGCAAGAGAGAUAUUUGGUGGUAAUUUUUAUUGUGACAUUUCCAUUAUAAAAUAUCAAUGUUGUUGCAUUAGUAAAGCUCUGUAACUUGUUUUAUAUGUUCACUAUUGUAGUUAGUCGAUCUGAAUUUAAAAGGAGGUGCAGAGAUGUUGGUAUUAAAAGGUGGCAAUAUGGCAAGAGAAAGAUGGGUAGCAACCGUUCUUCAAAGCACAAGCAAAGACUAAACAAUGGGUAUUCGACAGACAUGCCUCAUGUGCAAGAUCAACCUGUUAUUGCCCUUACAACCCGGGUCUAGAAUACGAUGGAUGUAAGGGUAAUGUAUAACGACCUCAUUAUAAGGUUUGAACUGCCUGAACUAUCAGGAAUAUCAGAGUUAGAAGACAAUGUGAUUAAGAGGCUGCACUUGGAUAGACAGAGUUUCAGCAUCAAGUAUGAAGAUGAUGGCGGUCAUUGGGUUUUAAUUACUUGUGACGAGGAUGUGCAGUACUGUAUGAAAAUGUCAAGAUUAUGGAAGAAGAAAACUAUUAAUAUGUUGGUUAGCCAGACUGCUAAUCUUUAAGCUCCUUGAAAGCAGAUGGCACCCAUUUUUUACCCUCCCAGAGAUAUUUAUAUGAUCUGCUUGCUGCCUUUUCUACAGCAGUAUGACAUCACUAAUAUUACAGACCACAGCAAUAGUUUGGCGUGUAGCAUAACUCCAAUAGAUGUUGCAGACUUGUAGCAUAACUAUUAUCUUCUGAGAUUUGUUAUUUUUUUAGUACAUAGUCGAUGUGCAAGUUAUCACACUGUACUGAAGGGCACUGGGAAUAACUACGUAGUCAACCUGAAAAUCUUGUUUCUCUGUCAAAUGAUGCGGUUAUUUUGGAAAUUUAUAAUUUCUUAAAAAUUAUAAACCAAAAAAGUGUGUGCAUUUAGUGUAAUUAUAAAUCUGUAUACUUCUUUCUCCACUUUUUUAGUGCUGUGUUUUCAGUUUCAGCCAGUUUGCGAUUGUUAAAUGUAUUCUGUAAACUUCAUGUCUUUCAGCUUCUUGUGAAAAAAUAUACCAUGGAGAGGCUAGCAGAGAUAUACAGCAAAAGUUGCUUAGAGUGCUCUAACAGAGAAAGUGAUGAUGAGUAUGAUUGGAUUCCUGCAAAGAUUUUAAGGUGUUUCUAUGACAAAGAUUUCAGGCAAGUUACAUUAUCUUGCGUACAGACAUAUAUAUAAACAUAUGUAGGAAAAUAAGUACACUUUACUAGCAUGAAGCUCUUGGAGAACUUUUCUAAUUUGAUGUCUUAAACCAUAUGAAUGUUCCUUUUUAAUCUUGUAUAAUUAUAUUGAGGAUAGGAGGUAUAAUGAGACACUAUUGAGGUCCCGGGAACAACAUGAUUGAAAAUUAUAUAUACUCUACAGGUCAGAUGCUGUCGAACCUAUCCUAUGCUCAUCCCUUUUUCCCAAUGAGUUUUCUGUCAAAGAUAAGGUUAGAAAAUGGGUUAGAGUUUUUCCAAGAUUUGACAGAUUGAAAUAAAGGCUCUUGAAAAAAUACUGUUGCAAAGCAAAGGUAAGCUGUUAUGCAACUCUCCAUAUCCUUGUUCAUUUAUAUUCGCAUUAAUUUUAUUGAAUGCUCUUCCUACUUGGUUUGCAGGUUACAGCAAGAGAUGCUGAGGUAUCUUUCCUCAAGGCAGAUGCAUCAGGUAUGCCAACUGAACAGAAAAAGAGAUGAGAGAAAUUUUCUUCUAAAAUUGAUAGAGUGAAAAAUAAGGGCAUAUAUUACAUGUUUCUGCAUGGUGUUUAGUGAGUGAUUUACUGAUUUACCAGGUGAUGAUAAAAAAAAAAAAAAAAAANGAAAAAAAAAAAAAAAAAAAAAAAAAAAAAGCAUAAAGAAAGCUACUAGAAGAAAAAAUGAGAAGGGAGAACUAUUAGUUUGAACUAUCUAUUCUCAAUCAUUUGCAGGAGAAUGAUGUUCCAGAGUUCCAGAAAAAGGCUAUGACUUGCUUCCGCAUUAUGUCUCGUAGUUUUAUAGAUCCAGGAAAAACAGAGGAGAACAUUUUAAUACGUGAUGAAUUAAAAGAUGCUGAUGUUUGGAAAAAUAUUACAACUCUACAUGAUCAAGUACUAUAUGUCUACAAGCUUGUUGUUCUCGGGUACGGAUAUAAAUCAGAAAUAGAUCAUUCAAUAUCAUUAGAGAUGAUAGUUGGUGCAUAAAUGCCCUUUCCAGUGAUUCCUAAACAAAAUUUUCUGCAGGAUGAUGUACUAAAGAUCCUUGGGGAGAAGCAUGGACUCUAUGAGUAUUACGUGCUCUCUCGAUGAAAUGUUCAUAUAUACUCUUUAACAAAGAACAUGUCAAAGAAAUCCUUCAAGAGGCUGAUAUGCAGAAAUCUUCUGGGAAUGCAGAGUUUACUUUGUCUUGCAUGAAUAUACUUGUGGUAGAACUUUUAUCCCACACCCAGUAUAUUGCUUAUCAUAUAGAAUUAUAGAUCAUAAAAUAUAUGGUGAUGUGAUCGUCAUUUGCAGUUGUGCUACACGUGAUUUUUUUCUGAGUUUUAUUAUUAAUAUAUUAAAGAAACACAUAUAUUCGUUACCAAAUUGUAAAUUUUUCGGAUCCAGACUAGGGUGCAGACCUCUGAACAAACAUGGUGAUGGCCACAAUGUAAAAUAUCGUAUUAACAGCGGUUAAAAAAAUAUAUCGCAUUAACAGCGGCUAAAAAAAUAAUCGAUGUCUAUGUUAUUUUUGACAUCAGUUAAUAUAAUAACUCAUGUCUAACUUCUUUGAAUUAAAAACAAAAAGGACGUGGCAACUCCUGUUUUGUACCCCUCUCAUAUGUUUCCCGUGUAUUUCCCCUUAGUCAAAUUUUCAUUCCCCCAAUUUUUUUAACCCCACCCAAAUUCAGACAAAAUAAACACCAUCUUAUUCAAUAUUUUUUUUUGUCACAAGAUACUUUCUCGUAUGAUAAAUUGUAUCAGAAUACAAUAGCCGCUCUUUCGUUCAAGAAAGUUUACCAUCUAACCCUCGGACAUGCAGAGAUGACCGGGGACACUUAGACAAUAAAGCUUUAAUGUUCGAUAAGAAAACACCCAUAAGAGGUCCCGCUAUCAUUCUUUUUCCAUUCGCGUAUCUUGAAAAAUACAAUACAAAUAAAAGAAACAUAGUAAGUUCAUACUGAAAAUAGAAUAAUAAAACUAUCCAAAACAAAAGAGAAAAAAAGUCAACAAACUCAUAAAAAAAUAUGAAUAUCAUAUAAUUCUUUAAAGAAUAAGGAAAGUAAAAAUAAAACUGAUGUGAAACAAAACAUUAAAAAAUCUACACCAAAGAGAUAGUGAGAUCUCUUUGGUUAGAUACAUAAUAAAAUAAUAAAUAAUAAAAUUUAACUCCCAGCGGAAAAAAUUGACUAUUAGAUCAAUAAAUAUUAAAAUAAAAUUAGGAAAAUAUAAUUGGAAGUUAAAAUAUGGCUAAGAUAUAUCUACUCAAAUACUCCCUCCGUCCCUUUUUACAUGUCCUUUUUGAAAAAAAAAUUUGUCCCAAAUUACUUGUCCACUUCUCUUUACAAAGUAACUUUUUGUAUGUUUUUUCAAAAUGUAACAAUUUCCAAUGUUUGACUAGCAUAUAUAUAUACACAACUCUAUCUAAUUCAUUACAUUUAUUAGAGAUAUAUAUGAAAACAAGAUAUCCACCUAACAUUUUCUUAAGAUGCGUUAUUUUUUCAAAAGGGACAAGUAAAAAGGGACGGAGGGAGUAUAAGACAAAAUCUUGACGAAUAAAUGUAUCACGAUUAUAGUUAAUUAUCAUUAUCAACACCAUAUAAAUUUGGUAUACACCAAUCAACAAAUCAACCCUUAAUGGCGCAAUAAUACCUCAUUAAGGCACAAUAAGCCAUCAUAAAUGGCACUCAUGAAUUAUGGAAUUCAGGUACAAAAUCAGCAAUAAGCAUUCUAUCAAUUAAUUUUCUAAUUAUACACAAAAUUUCAAAAUAAAGCAUGUAGAAAAACGUAAGUUUCAAAGAAAAGCAAAUUUAAAGGUAGUCAACUUGCCAUUCAAAAGGUAACUAAAAUUAAGGUCUACAAUUACUACUAUUAAAAACAAACAAUAUCCAAAAUUACAGAAUUAAAAACAAAAUCAUGCAAUAAAAUUAGUCAAACAGAAUAAUCUACGCGCACUAAUUAAGUCAUCGAGACACCACCUCCACCGCCACCGUUCAAGAACUGCAAACAAUCAUCAUGCACACUAGCGAAAAACUAAAAUCAAGAUAGGAUACGGGACACACAAUUAUAUCUAAUCAUGAAAAAAUAAAUUAUGAACCGCACCACAAGAAAAUAUACUGUAAGAAUAAUCACAUAAUCAUAGUCAUAUAAUUUUAUGUUUUAGAAAGAUCACACCUGUUAGUACGGAUCUUGCCUCAUCAGAUGGACCCAUAUGAAUGAUCAUCUCGCAUCUCCGAUCAACUUGAUGUAGCGUCAACACGGAUAACUGAAACCUAAUUGAUCCGAUUUUUCACCCUCCGGGCAUAUUUUUUGUCCACAUGCUCCGAUCGCCGAGAAAAUGGCGAAUUUAAAUCCUUCUUGGCUUGGAAAAACAAAAGGAAUGGAAAUUUAAACAAAUUAAAACACUCCUUCAUUUCACUCUCCCCGUGUUUCUCUCGUUUCUCCGAGUCGAAGUUGCUCCAACCCUAGCUAAUCAAUCGAAGCUGUUCAACCCUAAUCAAUUUAAGUGCAGAAGCUCUCAAGCCUAAUCUCAAAGUCGAAGCCCCAAGCUGCUCUCUUCAGUUCUCAAAGUCGAAGCCCUAAUUUUUUUAACCUCUUGCAGGUUAUUCAAAAAACCCUAGUUUCCUCUUCAGGUAAUUCUUUUGUUCGUGUUCUUACUCUUCACUUUUGUUGCUCUCUUGCUCUGGUUCUCUUGUUAUUUUGUUGAUUUCGUUUUGUGUUUUUGCAAUUAGUUUCUUGUUUUGGUUUGAUUUGUUUAUAUAUACACCUAGUUUGUUUGGGUUCGAACAUGGUUUUGUUUUUUUGGUUUGUAUUAUGAUUUUGUUAUUUCUGUUUUGGAUGAAGAGAAGUACUCUAAGGAUGAUUUUGUCGGUAUAGUUAACAUUCCUGUUUCUUGGGUUUUGUAAAGUUUGUAAGCAUGAGUGCAAUUAGUUUGUACAUGACUAUGAGUGCAAUUAGUUCUUUUUGUGUUUUCGGUGUAAUUUUGUUGGAUACAUAAGUUAAUGGGGAAAUUUUGUUGUAUAAGAAGCUUUGUUAAAGUGGGAGAGGAAUUAUUUAAUCGUUAAGAAUAAGAUAAUGAAUUAGUUAAUAUAAAAAAUAUUUUAUCAAAAAUAUUGUGUUAAUCAAUUCCUCAAUUAAUCUUAUUUAGGAAUUCAUAAGAACGCUAUAUUUUCUUAAUUUUUUUUUAUAGUUUCGUUAUUUUUUUAAAAAUAUUUGUGAAAAAAUUGUCCGCAACUAUAAGAAACUCGUGCAAUUUUUAUGAUACGAUUUGCAACAAGUGCAACCAAAGCAAUUUUUCGAACAAAUGAGAGUUUAUUCGAUUGUAUUCGCUGAAUUUGUUGCAUACAGUUGCAAACCGAAAAAAUCGCAAAAAAUUACAAAAUUAGUAUUCUUACAAAUAUAUUAAAAAAUUAAAUAUUUGAGAAAAAAAAUAAAAAAGGAGCAUUUUAUUAUAAAAAUGACCAUUAUAUUUUAUCAUGAUUAUAAACAUAUAUAAUACAUAGAAGAUUAUAUGAUUUUGGUAUGUCAAAUCUUUGGUUUUAUGAUACAAUUCUUUUUAAAAAAAUUCUUUGUAAAAGGAGAGCACAAUUACUUUACUCAUUACCUAAUAUAAUUUGAUUUUAGAAACCUUAAUUGAAUUUGUUUUUACAAACAAGUCGGUGCAUAAAAAAUCAAUUAAUUUAUUUAUUGUUUAAUUAAAUUUACCUCAUUACUGCUUCACUACAAAAAUUACAUAUUCUAACAAUAUAAAAAUAAAUAAAAAAUAUGCUCAUGUGAAAGUAACAAUAUUAGUUCCGUUUUUCUUACUGUCAUUUUCUAGACAAAUAUCCACUAAAUCAAAGAUAUAUAAAUCCAUCGACUAACUUAGCUAUUUCAAUAUAAAUUCUUUUAGAGAAUAUAUGUUAUUCCAAUAAAUGGACAUACACUAUAACUCUCUAGCAUCUCAACGUAACGUACAUGUCUAAUAAUUAUAACACGACGCAGGUUUUUGUUUAUAUCCAACAAUAUUACUAGUCAAGGACGUAUUUGUAUAACAUGAUUGUAUAGAUGCAAGGACACCACAAAAGGUGCAUCUCCAAUAUGCCAGAUCCGUCUCCAUCUUUCGUGUCCUUGUAGUGGACUUUCCAACGUUUUUCGGAGAUUUCCAUGAUCUUGCACUUACACCAAUAGUCAGGUGCAUAGUCAGAGUUCCCCUAAAUCUAAUAAAAUCAUUAAAUUAAAAAAUAUUUUGACAUGACAAGAAUACUAUAUAUAAUAAAGAAAAAUGCAUCCAAAUUUGCCGAAAUAGCGUACCAGUAAGAAAAGAUGGUAAUUGUCACUGUUAAAGAGGGCCUCUGUCGUAAAAGCAAAAUCUUGCCACCAGUCAUUAUUCCGCCAUGCAUCAAUGGCUGCUCCAACCUCAUAAGUAGUAGGAGGAUCUUCUGACAUGAACGGAUGGUAAGCUGGUCACAGUGUCUCAUGCUCAGCUUAUCAGGACGUGCAAGUCUUGGUGGUGGAACAUGUUGCUACACAUCAUAUAGUGUUAAAAAAAAUUAUUCAUUCAACAAUACAUUAUAUGUAAUUUCCAAACCAAUUUAUUGCUGAGAUAAAUGUUAAAACUGACAUUGUUUGCACAACAAAGAAAUACAUGAAAAUCACAUAUAUGCCUAGGGCCGGGUUGAGCGUCAAUGAGUGCAGAUUUUUACCUAUGAUGCAUAAAGGACAAUGUUCAACGUAAACAAUAUACUUAACUUGUGACUGGAGUUGAAAAAGUUGUGACCAUCCAAGAAACCAAAGUGCACAAUUCAAUAUAGAACAACUUGAUCAUUUAAAACGGUUGUUUUCCGUACCUUCAAUAUGUCACAUCGGUCUCCAUCCUUCAUGUCCUUGCACUGGACUUUCCAACAUCUUUUGGAGAUUUUCAUGAUCUCGCACUCACACCGGUAGUCAAGCAUGUCUGGUCAGAUACAAAGACCACAUAUAAUAGUUCCAGUAAGCGGCCCCAAUAAUGUAUAUAAUUUUGGUAGUUUUAAAAACUACAUAUUGAUUGCAUAAAUUUACCAACAAAUAAAUAAUUGUUAGAAGCAAACAAAAGUGACAUAAAAUUUUAAUAAUUUAAGAUUAGUCGACAUUGAGUUACCGCCUAUAAAUAUCUCUAAUUCAGACUUAUUUGAAUACUAUAGUAUAAUAUAGAAAGCUAUAAAGUUUAAAAUGUGUUAUUAUAAUAUUUAUGUUUUAAAAGAUUUAAUCAUGUAAAAAUAAAUUUGCUAUAAUAUUAAUUAUAUUUUAAUAUAGUUUUAAUUUAUAAAAUACUAUUUUUUUUAAAAACAAACAACUCAUAAAAAUUUAAUUUCAAAAAUUUUGAAAUAAAAAUAAAAAUUAUGCUACCAAAAUUUCUAGAUCAAUUACUUAAAAAAUUAUCACCGACUAGAUUACUAUAUAUAUGAUAAAUAAACUAUAAAAAGAAGUAUGUAAAUAUUCAACCUUCACUUACCCUGGUAAACUAUAUGAGAUAAUGUUGAAACUGGAGCAUCUUCUUCAUUAUUUUACAAAUAGAUCCAAAAAUAAUGCAAGUAUUGCAAAGUUCUAUACUUCUGUGUGAAAAAUCUGCCAAAUGAGAUGUUAAUCAGCAACCCAAUAAUAAGAUCUAAAAAUAAAUCUACCGAAAAAACAUAAGAAAUGAAUCAAAAAAUAUCGAUAUCGAUUUGAAAUCAAAUAUUUUAACAUAAUUAUAGAUGAUAUAUCUUAACAUACAUCACAAAUCUGUAACAUAUUUAUUGAAAUAUUUUGAUAAGAUUGUGAACGCCUUUUCAUUAAUUGAUAUAAAAUACUAUAUCGGACCAACAAGUAUAAAAUACUUACAUGAAUGACAAACCAUCUCACGAGGGUGAUCUUAUAAUAAUAUUCUUUCAUUCACAAUUGAAGUAGAGUCUCAAAGUCGACACCUGAAUUCACAAAUGAUAGAAUGAAUAACAAGUAACAUAUCUUGAAUACAUAUGUAUGUAUGUGUGUGUGUGUAUUGUGUUAUCACAUACAAGAGAAACUUAUCACAUACAAGAGAAACUGUGCGGCGGAUGUAAUGUUUACGAGAGAUUAUAUAUACGCACAUAAGGUUUUGGACUAUAAAAGGUCUUACCCGGUGGCCCAAAACAAAAACUUAUAAGGAAUACAUGAAGUUGGGACUAAAUCUAAACUGUUUUGUGAAUCAUACUCAACUUGUAAGCAUCUAACGAUUUUAAUAUUAUAAUUUUUUAGAAGAUAUUUUAUUCAUAAAAUUUUAAAGAUGUGGAGUAUUAUGUAUUUUGUAUAAGAAAAAAAUAUUUUUAUUAUCAUAAAUUAUAAUCGGUAGGAUCAAACGAUAACAUUCAAAAUCUUUCAUCAAUGAAUAUUAAGAUUAGACAAAAAUAUUCGUUUUAAUUAUAAUAAUACAAACAUUGGAGGAUGAAAGGUUGAUUUUAUUUGAGAGGCAAUAAUGACUACUUGUUUUUCAAAUUAUUGAGUAAAUGAUAUUAUUAUUAAUUCCUAAAUUAUCAAAAAUUAGAGGCGAAGCAUAAAUUUGAAAAGCAAAUUUCCGAAUUAUCAGUCUGAUAUUCGUUUAAAAAAAUUCGAAAAUUCAGAUAUUUUAUUAGAAAAGUUGGACCAGAAUCUGAUCAACUGAGUAUUUUAUCCAGGUGCAAAAUGCUCGCUUGUGUAAUUAGUGAUGUCAACUGUAAUUGUCUCGUGUAUUUAUGAACAUUUUUACUGCAAAACCACUUCGAGUACCUUCAUAAUUGUAUAUAGUAUAUAUCAUGGUUCAGCUGGUUAAAGAGGGGACAUGUAUCCUCUUGGUCACAGGUUCGACUACCGAAGAGAGCAGAAUUUGUGGUUAUGCCUCCUGGAUCAGAGCCUGUCGUGCUUAGGUGCGGUUUACCUUAGUUCACGUAUGCGGGUUCUUACGUUAAAAAAAAAAUUAAUUUGAGAAUUUAUAAAGCAACAUAGUUAGGGUGAUCACAUAAAUAUAUAUUUAUAGUUAUAUAUAUUUUUAACUACAUAGUUAUGUUAUUUUAGAAAUCCCAAAUUAUUUUGAUAAUAAGUAGGGACAAUUGUGAAGGUACUCGAAGUGAUUUUGCAGUAAAAAGUUAAACGGUUAAUUUUUGAUAUAUGAUUAAGUAUAGAGGUAUGAACAGUGAGGUGGGUAAAAUAAUACAAGUAUAUAUUUGAUUUGUAGUGGUUUAAAUGAGUCGCCGAUAAGAUGUGUCGGGUCAAGUAAGAUAUUUUGACGUAAGAUAGUUUGAUAUAAAACCCGAAUUUUAUCAGGUGCAAAAUGCUCGCUUGUGUAUUUAGUGAUGUAAACUGUAAUUGUCUCGUGUAUUUAUGAACAUUUUUAAUCUUAACUGCAGUUCGCUGGAUCUUAUAUUGGAAAGAAUAUGUUUCGAGGGUAGCCGAAGGCAGGCCAAAUAUGCUGUACACGCACUAGCGGCAGUAACAAAAGAGGAGGGGAUUAUGUCGCUCAUCUUUGAAACAAGAGAAAGUGAAAUUGAAACUUUUAUACAGAGAUUUUUAACUCUGUGUUUUCUUCCGAGGGUUAGUGUGUUGAUUGGGUGCUGCAGCUUAUAUUUGAUGAAUUGUCUGACCCAGGGAUUCAUUAGCUGGUAACAUCUCUUAUUCAUCCGAAGUUUGCAAAUUUACAUAAUGAGUUAUCUUAGGAAUUUGUGCCCUAGUUGAAGAAGUUAUGGUUUGAGUUGUGAAAAUUAUAUGAGCUUUGUGAUAACAGAUAAGGUGUUUGACAGAAUUCCUAAAAGAAAUAAUGUUUUAUUGAGUUGUUUAUUUGUUCUGACCGAUUUUGUAGUUGUUCUUAAAAUACAUAUGGCUAGUGUCUGCUAAUUGUUUGAUUUAAUGUCACAUCAUUAUAUAUAUAGCCAUGUAAUAGAGGCCAAUUUAGGUUAGCAAAGGAUUAGUUCUUUGUCAUUGCUCUGUCUAUUCCUACGAUUAUGCUAGAACCCGUCUUGCAAAUGAUGUAAAGACUGCAAAGAAGGAUGGAGAGAGGCAGUUCAAUGGAUUGGUUGAUGCUCCUUAAGUGAGCUUGUUCCCUUUGUGGGUUGUGCUUUUUCAUGGGUUGUAAGGUUCCUCAUUAUAAACUAGUAUCUUCUUUCCAUUUUCCAGUCCAGUUGAUAAGGCCCAUAUGAAGCUUGCUGGAGCAAAGUCUAUUCUUCGAUUAUCUAGAUAUUGGGAUCAAAAAGAUUCCCGUUGAUCUCUUCUACUCUACCCUAAGAAUUUUCGAGGUUAAGUCUUUAGCAUUUGAACUUAAAUAUAAAUAUAUAAAAUGAUAAUAUAUAUUUUUAAUAUAUAUACACCAGCAACUAGCCGUUGGAAUAGAUGAAGUGCCACGUCCUCUGCCAGCUCAGAUUUCCGUCCAAUCAUUUUAUUGCUAAUUAAUGGAGUGAUAUUUUUUCUUAAAUAAAUGUUUUAAAUGAUAUACUUUUUUUUUUGUGUGGUCUAAUUGAGAUUUCGGAGUGAAUUGGGUGGUUUAAUUGAUAUAAAACCCAUAUAUAAAAUGAUAAUAUAUAUUGUACUUUUUUAAUAUUCACUUGUGUUCUCCUUGCACGUUGUUGCAUACCUUAUUAUUGAAAUAUUACAAAUAGAUUAUGUUUUGAUCCUUUUGCUUGACACAUGUAGGUUGAUUUUCCUCAAGUUGAAAAACAAUUUCUGAGAAAUGUUCACCCAUACAUUAGGGAUCGCCUUUUGGACCCCAAAUAUGCUUGUGCAUUCUUAUCUAAUGAAAUCUAACAAUCUUUCUGCAACCAGAAUCAAUGUGUAUUUUGUAUCACUAACUGCUAGUCUUGCUUAGUGAUGAUUAUAUACAAUGACUGAAUAUAAAGUUUGUCAUGCCAGCUGGAGAGUAAUGGAAUGCCAGCUGGAGAGAGUGGUGGAAUAUGGCAUGGAUCACAUGUAUUGCAGCAUACUAAAGCUUAACCUGGAUAUUUUAUGGUAAACAAUAUUUACCCAAUACUACAAUAAUUCACAAUAAAAAUAUAAUCUAUAAAAAUAUAAAGAAUAGAUUUAUUAUAUAAUUUGUAAUGUGAAAAGGUUUUGAGUAAUUAGGUUGACAAAAUGAAAAUAGAAGAGACGAGACGAAGAAGAAAAAGAAGUUGUUGGGUCUCAGCCCGCAAGAGUGAGGAAGACUAGCGUAGCCCAGUAAGCAAGCACGGGCAGGUCACGUGGUAUAAUUAUAGCGGAGAAGCUACGGCUAAAAGGGUUUGAAAUUCAGAGCGGAGAAAAGGGGGAGGGUUUCUACUAUUAGACUAUCAAAUAACGAUGGCAUUCACAAGGGAGUAAUUGAGCGCGUAUAUAAGAACAGGAGGGCAAAGAUGAGUCCUGACAUCAAAUAUUUACUGUGAAGAGUUGAUAACCUUGACUGAUAGCACUUGUCCCGGUUUUUCUCCAUCUCCUAUAGCAAGCAUAACAUUUGGAAGAAAUUCCUUAAUUGUUGCUCAUAUAGAAGUCAACAAGUUUUUGAGGGUAAUCAUUAUCCAUUUCCUGAGAAAGCGGAAAGAAUAAUGAUUACCUUCAAAACUUAUUGAUUCUAUAUGGGCAGCAGUUAUGAAAUUUCUUCGAGAUUUUAUGCCUGCUGCAGCAGAUGGAGAACAACAACCGGGACAAGUAUUAUCAGUCAACGUUAUUAACUCUUCUUCUACCCAACUCGAGUCAUUUGAACUUGGUACUGUUGUUUCGCCACUGUUUGAUCAUGGCACUGAACAAGGCGAGCAAGUUCUGGAGAUACAAAAGUGCGCCACAAAUACUCAUUCAUAUGAAGAAAUUUCCACAACUGCAGCGUCUAAAAGGACACCCGAAGGUGUCGAGCAGAUAAUUUCUUGUAUGUCCUUGAACCUAUUUGUUCUUAUGGACAUUUUCAACUAUAUUUUGUUCUUUACUUUGGUGAUUAUUCAUUGAUCUGUUUAUUUGGUUCCUUGACAGUGGAUGAAAUCGCCUAUUAAUUGUAAUGAACCUCAGUCUCUCACAUCCAAGCAGCUGAGGAGAUCUGAAGUAAUAGUUGGAGAUGAGGGGUAUACCGUCCUUUCUGAGAAAGGUAAAUUACCAUUCUUUUAGGGAAUGAAUAUGAUAACAGUUCUCUUAACAUUCAAUAUCCUCAAAAUUUAUAAGUACAUGAAUGUCGUAUAACUAUUUGUAUUGGUGGCCUAUGAAAUUUUAAGUGUAUAUACAUAAAAAUUAUAUAUCAUGAUUAUCUUAGCUACUUUACCCCCGCAUGUUCAAAUCUUUAGCUAUCCCUGUGCAUAGUUAGUUUAGUAUAUUAAUAUUCAGUAAUUUAGUAUGCUGCGAGGUAUGAAGACGUGGGACAUGCUAUGAUUACUGCAUCUCAGCCUUCCAGUUUGCAAACCAUGAAAUCAUUACCCCAACAAGUCAAUAUGAAAAAAAUGGUAUUAGAAAAUGAAGGAGAUAUAUCGUCUCAACUUCCCAGCAAUUUGCAACGGUGUGAGGAUGGCACUGAACAAGAGGAACAAGUUUUGGAGAUGCAAAAGAGUACCCCAAUCAUUAACUCACAUAAAGGUAUUGCCAAAGGCGAAACGUCAAGUUAUACACCCGACAAUAUCCUGAGGACAUUCAUUGUUGGUCUUUCUACCUAUAUGUUUUGUGCAAGGAAUGAGGACCCUCGGCAUAUUAAGUUUAAAUAUACACGUAGAAAGAAACAUAAUCAGGAGUAAGCAGGGGUAAAUAAGGGGAAAUAUAGGGAAGAGAGGGUAAAGAAGUCUUUUGAUGUUUGGGAGUAUAAAAUAGAAUGAAGAAAAGGGUUAGGGUUAUCUAUCUGGAAAAUGUGUUAAGUCAGUAGUAGUAUCAGGAGAGACCGCGCCUCUCGAAUUGCUGCGGGGUUGUAUAAGAUCUACUGUUUAGUAAUCGUUUAUUUCCCUGCUAUUAUAUAUAUCACAUCUGUUCUGGUCGUUUACUUGUCAACUAUAGUAGUCUAUUGUAGCAAAUUGGUAUCAGAGCGAGGUUGACGAUUAUGGGUGCUCCUCCUAGUAAUCAGUACAGGAUUGAAGUGCUCGAACAAGGGUUGGGGGACCUCCGCGCCACAAUGGCCGAACAGAUCGCUAUAGCGGUUCGAACGGCAACCCAGGAGAUGCAGCAGAGUUUGGUUUCUCUGCUUACGACCUCUCUCGAUCAAUCAACUCAACGAUUGGAAGAGAGGGUGGUGCGUUCCCGUGAAAAGCAAGAGGGUUUUAUGUUACGGAUGAAAGAGGAGCAAGAAAGGUUUCAGGAAGAGAUUCGAUCCACGUUGACAUCGUUAAAGGGAACAGGGGUUGUCCUCGGUGAAGGGGCAAACUCCACUCCUGAAUUUGGGUCUGGCCAGGGGCAGCCAUAUGGGGUUGAUGAUGAUGGUGGCGGUCCUCGUUCGGUGGUUUUCGGAUCUGGACCGGGUCGCGGGUCUGGUCGGGGACACAAUGGACCGGGUCGAGGCAGUUCGGAUUUUGGGGGUCAUGCUCAAUAUGGGUAUUCUGGUGGGUCUCAUUGGAGGGCAAAGAAAUUGGACUUGCCGAAUUUUACAGGUGAAAACCCAGAUGGGUGGAUUAUGCGAGCUGAACGUUUUUUCACGUUUUAUCGGUUAACGGAGGAAGAAAAAUUAGAGGCAGCAAUUGUGGCACAGGAUGGUGAUGCUUUAUUGUGGUUCCAAUGGGAAAAUGGUCGUCGUCCUAUUCGUUGUUGGGGAGAGCUCAAACGCCUCUUACUUCAUCAGUUCCGACCGUCUUCAACCGGGAGUUUGCAUGAACAAUGGCUGAGUCAUACACAGAAGGGGACUGUUGUUGAGUAUCGUCGGGGUUUUAUAGAACUGAUGGCUCCGUUGAUUGGGGUUCCGGAGGAGAUAGCGAAGGGGCAGUACAUCAACGGGUUGCAGGAUGAUAUUAAAGCGGAAUUACGCCUUCUGGGUCCUAGUAGUUUAGAUCAUGCAAUGGAGUUGUCAGUGAAAAUAGAAGAGAAAAAUCGAUGCUCUCUGGAGGUGCGCAAUAAGGGCAAAGGAAUGCAGUUUUCUACUGGCCGAGGUACAGGUACAUGUAGUCCCUUAUCUUAUUCUUCAAGUGGUCAUAGUCAGUACACUGCACCCUCAUUUGCGGGAGAUCACAAGUCAGUGGGGGGAUCGUAUAUAGGGACUAAAUCAACAAUUUCAGGGUCUACAUUGAGUUCAAAAGGGUCUAGUGUACCAGUGGCUAAACCUGUAGGUGAAGUGCGUAAGUUGAGCGAUAAGGAAUGGCAGAGCAGACGUGAAAAGGGCCUAUGUUUUAGGUGUGAUGACAAGUGGCAUGUCGGCCAUCGGUGUAACAAGAAAGAAUUAAGUGUGUUGUUGUCCCACAGUGAGGAGGAUGAUGAUUUCAGCCCGGAAUUAAGUCCUGUAGGGGAAGGCGAGCAGGAUCUCGGGAACUUGCAGUUUCAGCCAGAAGUGUCCCUGAAUUCUGUCAUGGGUUUAACUACACCCAAAACCAUUAAGAUGAUGGGUUAUAUUAGGGGAGCACAGGUCAUAGUAAUGAUCGACCCGGGUGCAACCCAUAAUUUCGUAUCGUUAGAUACUGUACAAAAGCUUCGCUUGCCGAUGACAAAGACAAAGGGGUUUGGCGUGUCACUGGGUACAGGAGAAUCGGUAAAUGGAAGCGGCAUUUGUCAGCAGGUGGCUGUAUGGAUACAGGGAAUUCAGGUGGUCGAGGAUUUCUUACCAUUGCAAUUAGGGAAUUCUGAUUUAAUAUUGGGUAUUGAAUGGUUAGAAAAGUUAGGCACCAUGAGUGCUAACUGGAAAACACAAACACUGUGUUUCCAGGUUCAGGGGAAGCCAGUAACUAUCACAGGUGAUCCAAGCCUCGGGAAAUCGCUCAUCUCUUUGAAAGCCAUGAUAAGGGCGUUACGUAAAGGCGACACAGGGUACUUGGUUGAAUUAAACUGUUUGGACAGUGAACAAGAACAGAUUGAGCAGUGUAGUACAACAAAACAAGUUCCCAAAUGGGUUGAGAGCAUCCUCCAGCAGUUUCAAGAGGUGUUUAAUAUGCCACAGGGCCUUCCUCCUCAUCGGACAUAUGCUCACGCCAUUGCUUUGCAGCCAGGGACAACCCCUGUAUCAGUUCGACCUUAUCGUUAUCCGCAAGUUCAAAAAACGGAGAUAGAAAACAUGAUCAGGGAUAUGUUGAAAGCCCAAAUAAUACAAGUGUCCAGAAGCCCUUUCUCCAGCCCCGUUAUCCUCGUGAAAAAGAAAGAUUCUUCGUGGCGAUUUUGUGUAGAUUACAGAGCCCUUAACAAAGUGACUAUACCGGAUAAAUAUCCUAUACCCGUGAUAGACGAGCUGCUGGAUGAAUUGCACGGGGCAAGCAUUUUUUCGAAAUUAGACCUGAAAUCAGGCUACCAUCAAAUUCGCAUGAAAGAAGAAGACAUUCACAAGACAGCCUUCCGGACUCACGAAGGCCAUUAUGAGUUUUGUGUGCUUCCGUUUGGACUCAUGAAUGGGCCUGCAACUUUCCAAGCUCUCAUGAAUGAAGUGUUUAAGCCCUAUCUACGCAAGUUCGUCCUCGUGUUCUUUGACGACAUUCUUGUUUAUAGCCCUGACAUGGAGACGCAUAAAGAACAGCAGACAGUGGUGUUACAAACAUUGAAGCAACACCAACUGUAUGCCAACUUAAAGAAAUGUGAGUUUGGACAAGCGAAGAUUGCAUACUUGGGUCACGUGAUUUCAUCACAGGGAGUGGCUGUAGAUGAGGAGAAAAUCAAGGCCAUGACUGAUUGGCCACUUCCGAAAAAUGUCAAGGAAUUACGUGGAUUUCUGGGUUUAACCGGUUAUUACCGAAAAUUUAUUCAAGGAUAUGCGAAGACAGCAUUACCCCUGACAGAUCAGUUAAGGAAGGAGAAGUUUGGGUGGUCACCGGACGCUACUGCCGCGUUUAACAAACUCAAACAACUGUUGUCGUCUACACCUGUUUUGGCACUACCUAAUUUUGAGCUUCCCUUUGUGAUCGAGACAGACGCGUCUGGGUACGGUUUAGGAGCAGUUCUUUCUCAGCAAGGUCAUCCAAUAGCAUUUUACAGCAGUGUUUUGGGUGCCCGAGCUCGGUUAAAAUCAAUUUAUGAGAAAGAGCUAAUGGCAAUGGUUUUAGCGGUGUUAAAGUGGAGACAUUAUGUGCUGGGAAGAAAAUUUACAAUAAAAACAGAUCAGCAAAGUCUCAAAUUUUUGCUGGAACGAGAGGUGGGUUCGGAAUACCAGAAAUGGGUGAGUAAACUCAUGGGGUUCACUUUUGACAUCGUGUAUCAGCCUGGGCCGAAGAACACUGUUGCUGAUGCUUUGUCCAGAAAAACCCCUACACAGAUAGAACUCGCGGUGUUGGUGACCAGUCAUGGGGCAGAAUGGGGUUCCAUCCAUCAACAGGUCUCAACUGACCCAUACAUUGUUAAAUUGAAGGCUGAAAUUGAGAAAGGUGGCUCCACUGCCCAGGGAUUUGCUAUUGAGCAUGGGAAAGUAACUUAUAAAGGGCGUUUUGUGAUUCCAAAGCACUGCCCUUUGAUCACUACCAUUCUGCAGGAGUAUCACAACUCGGUUGUCGGUGGGCAUGCUGGUGAAAUGAAAACAUAUCAACGCAUAGCUAAAGAGUGGUUCUGGCUCGGAAUGCGCAGGGAUAUAGCCACCUAUGUGCAACAUUGUGUUGUUUGUCAGCAAUGUAAAACAUCGAAUCUCAAACCAGCAGGCCUCCUUCAACCAUUACCUGUUCCUACGAAAGUAUGGGACGAGAUUUCACUGGAUUUCGUUGAAGGGUUGCCACGUUCCGGGGGUUACGAUACUGUUCUGGUAGUAGUGGAUCGCUUCACUAAGUAUGCUCACUUUUUGGGAAUUAAGCACCUUUUCACUGCUCCGUCUAUAGCAGCUGUUUUUGUAAAGGAAAUUGUCCGGUUGCAUGGAUUCCCAUCAGUUAUAGUUUCAGAUCGGGAUCGGGUUUUUAUGAGUGUUUUUUGGAAAGAGAUAUUCCGCUUACAAGGGACAAAAUUGCACCGCAGUACAGCCUACCACCCCCAGUCUGAUGGACAGACAGAAGUGGUAAACAAAGUACUUGAAACGUAUUUGAGAUGUUUUGUCAACGGACAACCCCGUAGGUGGGCAAAUUGGCUGGCUUGGGCUGAAUAUAGUUAUAAUACAGCAGUACAUUCUUCUACAGGGUAUUCCCCGUUUCAGGCACUGUAUGGGAGAGAGCCACUACCAUUGAUUAAGGGAAGCGCAAGUAGCACGAGUGUAAAUAGCAUUGAAGAACAAUUGGUUGACCGUGAUGCUAUGCUAGAUGAACUCAGGUUUAAUAUGCUGCGUGCCCAGCAACGUAUGAAAGUUCAGGAAGACAAACACCGCCGUGAGGUUGAGUUCGCAGUAGGAGAUCAUGUAUACUUGAAGUUGCAACCAUAUCGCCAGCAGUCUUUGGCAAAGCGUGCGUGGGAAAAAUUAUCUGCUCGUUAUUAUGGGCCGUUUGAGGUGCUUCAGAGAGUUGGUAGUGUGGCUUAUCGUUUGCAGCUACCAGAUGCAUCCAAGAUCCAUCCUGUAUUCCAUGUGUCUCAACUGAAACGUGCUAUUGGGGAGGCCCCGGUGGUUCCUACGAUUCCCAGUAGCAUUAAUGCUGAUUUAGUGUGUAUGGCAGAACCUGAGGCUGUUUUGGGUGUACGUAACAGGGGGUCGACAAAUGUGGAGGUUUUAGUAAAGUGGCAAGGGAUGGAGAGUUUUGAAGCUACUUGGGAGGACUUCACUGCUUUGACACAGCGGUUUCCUACAUUACACCUUGAGGACAAGGUGGCUCUUUGGGAGGAGGGUAUUGCAAGGAAUGAGGACCCUCGGCAUAUUAAGUUUAAAUAUACACGUAGAAAGAAACAUAAUCAUGAGUAAGCAGGGGUAAAUAAGGGGAAAUAUAGGGAAGAGAGGGUAAAGAAGUCUUUUGAUGUUUGGGAGUAUAAAAUAGAAUGAAGAAAAGGGUUAGGGUUAUCUAUCUGGAAAUUGUGUUAAGUCAGUAGUAGUAUCAGGAGAGACCGCGCCUCUCGAAUUGCUGCGGGGUUGUAUAAGAUCUACUGUUUAGUAAUCGUUUAUUUCCCUGCUAUUAUAUAUAUCACAUCUGUUCUGGUCGUUUACUUGUCAACUAUAGUAGUCUAUUGUAGCAUUUUGCUCGAUAUUUCAUAUCAUGCCUGUGUUCCUUUAAUGGUCAAAUAUCUGCUUGGUUGCUUUGCAGUGGAUAAGUUGCAAUAAGCGCCACCUACCAUUAGCAAAGAGAGUCUUAGCCUUACAUUUACAAGAAGCGCUAACAUUUACAAGAUUUUUCCUUAGUGCUCUAAGUUGAUCUUCUUCUCUAAUGUUCUUGUCCUUAGUGUUCUAAGUUGAUCUUCUUCUCUAAUGUUCUAAUGUUCUUGAUUCUUGAAAACGAAAAUAUAAUGCUUGUUUAUAUAUUCAAGCUUAUAGCAAUUUUUUACUCAAGAAAUAUGGAACUAUUAUUUUUAUCAUCUUCCCGCCCAUUACCCUCGCCGACAAACUCUCCGACCUCUCCCUAUUCUCACACUCAGCCGCCAAGUCCCACCUAGGCUCCUCAUCUGGUUGCGUCUUUUCGUUCUUUUGUUUGUGAUUUGCAUUGAGUCACCUUCGAGUCAUGCCGAGUAGCUGAGCUACGUUUGAUUCUGCUGGAGUUUGCUUUGAUUUCUUGAGAUUUGUUUGUUGUGUUUUGCUGUGACACCGAGAGUGGCUAAUUUCUUGUGUGUUUUGUCCGAGUCCAAGUUGCAGGUUCAAGUCUUGUUCUUCUUUUUAAUUGAGUUGUAGUAGAAGAGUUUGUUUGAAGAAUAAGUGGCUGGGAUAGUUAAUUUUAGUAGUUUGUUUCGAAGUUGCAUAACUGAGUCGCGAGUCUGAGUAUUGCUAGCCUAGAUUUCUGUUCGUAGUUAAGGAAUAAUUUUGAGUUGAUUUUGAGUUGAUUUUUAGGUGGUUGUAUUAGUUGUUUUUUAGGUUGUAAUGUUUGGCCCCGUGGGAGUUAUUUUUUGGUCUUGUAAACGGUUGCAACCUAUUAUGCAAACGAAUAUAAUUUUCAAUUUUUUUUUUAAAAUAGCAUUUCUGGUUGUAUGUGGUUGCUGGCAGUUGCAGAUGUGGUUGCAUAUGCAACCACCGUAUCUUUGGAAAUAUUAUCAGGAAUAUAGUAUUUUUGCAAUUUGUUUUAAAAAGUGAUAGUAUUUUCGCAAAAAUUCUUUCAAACUUGAUUAUAUAAAAAAAGCUCUUGAAAAUCCAUAUCCAUAUAUCCUUAAUGGGUGCUAGUGAAGCCCCCAAAAAUACUCCUAAAUUUACCCAUUUUUUUUGCCUGCUCCACCGACCCGAAACCCGUUAACCCAUCUGCCCAUGUCAGUUUGUUCCUUAAUGUCUGCAUCUUAAUUCAAAUUUCGAAUCAUGGAGAUUAACCUUAAUGCAUCGUACUGUCAAAACCAUCUUCAAGCGUUUGGAUCAUUUCUGUGAUCUUCUACCGUCACAUACACAUCUUCUUCUUCAGCCAGUCAUGGAAACUGACGGCAAUGAUGCCGCAUCACCGGGUUUAGGUAUUUGUUGAUUGUUGUAUGCAUCCCUUAUACACAGUUUGUUAAAAAUUCUUCAAUCUCAAUUUCCAGAUUAUCCAAGAUCAGUCGUUGUCGUGCUUGCCAAGACAGGCUACACUAGAUGAGCGGCUGUGUUCGUUUUUGCGUAGCCAUCAAUGGAAAAACGACCUCUCCACCACGUAAUCCUCCCCCGUCGACAAGUAGGUAAAACUAUACCCAUAUAUACGCUUCAUCUUGCCUGCGUUGUAUGAUUCUAUAUAUGUCAAUUGUGUAUAAAAUCAAAGAAUCAACUUUUUAUUGUAUUAUUUAUGACUUUGAUAUAUAACCCAUUAAGUGUUUGAUGUAUUGCCACAAAGACUUGAUUAUAGUUUUGUUUCUCCAUUUUUCUUAUCCAUAUUCUAAUAUUUGCUCUCUGCUCUCUCUAUACUCUGAAUAUAGGAAUCCCGUGUCAAUGAGGAGAAUAGGAAGCAGCCAUUUAACACACAAAACUCUUUCUAUUUAACACACAAAAUCGGGCUUCAAAAAUAAAAAUACAACAAAAGUAUGCAAAAUGGAGCCCUGAUUUUUAAUCCAUGUGUUUAUUUGUGUCUUAGCUACUUCAUGUGUUCUCCAUUGCUACUUCACAGGCUGUUUCAAAUUUGGUCGCAAUACUAUAGGUAUCUUAUGCCAUCAUAGAGAAGGCUACGUCGUGUUAAUCUGUAUGAUCUGGUGUGAAUAUAAUGUAUGAUAUAGGGUGUUAUUUGUGCAGACUAUAUAUGUGGUGUUUUCUCAAAGUCUAGGUCCAAGUCCUCAUGUAUCAGUUUAAGGGCUUAUAAAUAGGACAUCAGCACACACUGCUAAAAACCCACUGUUCUAAUUACCAGCUUCCAAAAAAUUCCUAUGGUAAGUUGAAAACGUUGCAGAAUUUUUUGAAGCUGCAGAGUGCAAGGGAACCAAUGUCACAUAUGUGUUGUUUGUGUCCUUUUAGGUCCGGGUGUUAACAAUUUCAUAAACAAUCUGCAGACCACUCCUGAUCAUCUCAGUGGCUUCGCACCAGGUAAUCCUUGCGCAUUUUAGAGCAUUUAGUUAUGUUAUUGAAUGUUUGCAGGCAUUUUAGAUUUGCAAAUAUGUGCAGGUCUGAUGUUCUUGAGGCACUUGCCUCAGUGGUGCCACCAUAAUCAUAUUUACACGGUGCUUCCGUCGAAAAAUUGAUAUAAUUAUUAAUGAACUUCAUGAAGUCUUAUUUCUUCAGCGACCCUAACGUGGUGCUAAUCUUACGUGGUUUGAGAAAGUUAGAGCAACACAAAAUAUCUAGCAUGCGGUAAGAAGAAUAUCUUGCUACAAAUAAUUUUGAUGACACAGCUUUAUGAAGCGCAGUCUUCAGUAUCUAGAGACACCUGCCAUCUUAUAACUAUUUGCAGUUUGAAUAAAAUUAGUAUUGUCAUGUGGUAAGCAAUGCUGUAACAUGUGUGUUAUAACGGCAGACCAUCUAUUUUUGCAGUCCGAGGUGUUAACAGGAAUUCAUUAAACUCAUGUCCUUGAUGGUGCCUCUAUUUCAAUAUGUCCAUAUCUAUGUCUAGCAAUAUAAUAUGGAGAUAAACUGGGAAUUAGUUGCCAUGUAUGGAAUCCUCUUAAUAACUCUAUGAAUUCAUGUACUUAUUUAUAAUCUUAUUUUCUAAAUAUUAUUAUCUGUACCUUCUCAAGCCAUUGACUACAUGUUUUUUACUUUUUUUAAAAGAUCUCUUUGAAAUUUAUUUCUUAUAAACACCUUAAUAUUUUACGCAGAAGGUUUGAUUUGCAUCUUUUGCUUCAGGUGUCGUUUUUCAGAACCUCAUACUGUUUCCUGGCUCCAUUCAGGAAGGCUGUAGUAGUUUAGUAGAAUGCGAAUUGUUGUGUUUGUUUUGCUUAGUGGUAGUAUCUUCUUUUGCAAUGUACUAGCUAUAUAAACAUGACUUGAACUUUCUGUGAACAUAUCCCAGCAUUCUGCAGCCAAUAUCUCUGCAAGUAAAGAUACACAACAAAAGCGCCGAGGUCGUGGACCGGGUGUUAACAAUGUGAUAAACAGUUUAAAUACUACAAAAGACCAUUCCAGUGGCUGCACACCAGGUAAAUUUUUGAUAUUUUGCAAGCAGAUGGUUAUGUGAUCUGAUACUUGAAUAAACAUUUAUAGCUUCUACAAUGUAAUGUAUGUAAUUAUAAAUAUGUGCAGCCUGUAUUCCUUAACGUCUUUCAAUGUGUUUUUAAUCUGAAUGAUGUUAAAUAGGACAAAAACUUGACGCUAACAUAUCACUGCAACUUCCACACGAUAAUCCUCACAAUAAAGGUUUACCUCAAAAGCGUCACAAUAAAGGUAUCUUUUCCUAGGAGUGCACAGUAUUCCAAACAGUGUUUCGCCCAUUUUAACUGGUGUGUUUAUUGCUUAUAUCUUUUGUAAUGAACAUCAUAUAUAUGUUCUAUUGUUCCAGAAUUUAUUUUGGUUUUUGGAGAUCUUAUCAAUGGUUGUAAUCAUUCAAGACAUAAUUAUUGGGUUCUUAUUCGGUUGUCACAAUUAUUUGGUUUUUGUUGUUCUUACCAAUGGUUCUAAUCGUUCAAGAUUGGGAUCGAUUAAUCCUGUCAACAGUAGACUUAAUUUUCAUCUUACCAAUGGAUACGAAGAAUAUAGUCUNNNNNNNNNNNNNNNNNNNNNNNNNNNNNNNNNNNNNNNNNNNNNNNNNNNNNNNNNNNNNNNNNNNNNNNNNNNNNNNNNNNNNNNNNNNNNNNNNNNNNNNNNNNNNNNNNNNNNNNNNNNNNNNNNNNNNNNNNNNNNNNNNNNNNNNNNNNNNNNNNNNNNNNNNNNNNNNNNNNNNNNNNNNNNNNNNNNNNNNNNNNNNNNNNNNNNNNNNNNNNNNNNNNNNNNNNNNNNNNNNNNNNNNNNNNNNNNNNNNNNNNNNNNNNNNNNNNNNNNNNNNNNNNNNNNNNNNNNNNNNNNNNNNNNNNNNNNNNNNNNNNNNNNNNNNNNNNNNNNNNNNNNNNNNNNNNNNNNNNNNNNNNNNNNCAAGCCAAUGUUAUGGAUGUUUCUGGAGAAGUUGGAUCUCAGUUCAGUCAGGCAACAAUAAGUUCACGUAUUGGUCAUCCAGGUCGUUCUCAUCAUUCAAAUUAAGGACAUGGGAGCUCUACAAACAGUCUCUUAAAGUUUGAACUUCCUGCAUAAAAAAUCACUCCUUCCAACCAUUAAAAUACAGGUUCCAAUCUAUUUUAGUUGAGUUCAGCAUACAUCACGUAUGGAUGACAUACAAUUUUUAUAGUUGCACAGUAUAUUUCAGUAGUGUACAAAAUAAUCACGUUUACCGACAUAUGGUUUUUGUAGUUAUUGAUAGUAGUGUACAUGCAUCGGAGAAGCAUGUAUACAGACAUCGACUACGUCCAACAAGUCCUACAGUUAUUGGUAGUACAGGCAUUGGAAUCAGGAUUCUAAUCCUUAUGGUCUUCAGUUUCAGGUUAUUCUAGGCCGGAAGUGAACUCCAGUUAGGUUGUUCUCUGCUUUUGCAAUGGAAAAUGGUAGUAUUAUCUUGAAUAUAUUAUCGGGUAUAUAUCAAUAUAUGUGUCUCUUGAAAUUUAGAACUACAUAUUGAUUUCAAUUUUGUGCGUAGAUCCUAAGCACAGAAUACACACUUGAGCAUGCACACAUAAACAAGUUAAGUCGAGAAGCAUGACAAUAUUUUGUUUGAUAUGACUACCAAAAAGAACUGAAUGAUUUUCCAAAAGUUAUAUAAGAACUUGCACAAGAGCUGUGGGACUUGCUAUGUGAUAAUCUUGACUUAAAAAAGCUUUCUAUAUCUAGCGCACGCAGAUUCAGGCAGGAUCGUCCGACAAUUCCAAGUUUACCAUGUUAGUGGCCUCUAGCUUCUCAAAAUGGCGAACGGAUCGAUGUUCUGCUUAUGCUCCACUUCGUUGUAUUAACUUAGGUGACCAACUCACCACCAUCUCCACUUUGCUACAAUUUUAUACGAUGCACGUAGGUACGUUCAAGAUCAAAAGGCUCGAAAUUGAUAUCAAGUCGAAGGAUGAGAUCUAUUGCAAUUCUCUCUAAUCAGUAUAGUGGCUUGAUGAUUCAUAUGUUGGGUAAGUUUUUUCAUUUUUUAAGUCAAUCUUCUUUUUUCAGAACGAUGUUUGUUUUGGCUGUUCUAGCAACAUGAUUUCAUGUUCCUAUAUAAAUGACGUACACACAACAAACUUUAUUGUGAAUGGAGUAACAAAUGUUUAAUACAUAAUUACAAUCAUUUUAUGGUUAGGAUUAUGAUGCCUUGCAUAUAUAUAAACUUUAUAUGGUCUAUUUAUUGUAAUUCUAAAGAUGUUUUAAGUUAUCUGAUAGCUACGCUGUAAGUGUAGCCAGGGAAUUACGUAGAAUAUGGUUAUGUACUGUUGCCAUAGUACUUAUUAACUGCCAGGAUAUAUGUCAAAUCUGAUAUAGUUAUUCUUCGGUUGUAAAUUUAAUCUUUUAUAUUAUUUUCUCAUCAUCUCAUCCCAAAAGCUGUAGAGAAUAUCUGCUGAAGAUAUUCUUGGUGCUAAAUAUUUGUGGACAGACUAUUUGCUUUGCGAUCCCAAGAGGUGAUAUAAUGUGUAUGUAAGUAUGUUGAACUUUUCAGAAUUCAUGUGGACUUAUCAACAUUGCCUGUAUUUUAAUUUAAAAAGGAUCACAUAUGACCUUUCUUAGAGAAAUGAUAUGUUUUUUUUCCUCAGCCUACCUAAUUUGAGUAUUUCACAAUUCGAGACAAAGAAAUAAUGUCAGCAGAAGCAGGAACUUUUAUUGUUCUUUGUUGUAGUUGCUGGAAGAGAAGCAGGGAGCAAAUGUUUUGUGGUUUUUUCAAGCAAUAAAUAGGUAACUCAAAUAAAAAUAUAUGUUUGUGUACAUGUGUUCAAGCAAGUUUUUAUAUGUUUAAAUGACAUACUUUUUUAUACAUAAUGUAUUUGCAAUAAAAUGCAUGUACAUUUCUGUAUUAAAAUGUGUUAAAUUUCUCAAAUCCUGAAACUUUUUAUUCUUAAAUCUUGAAAAAUAUUUUAAUGAAAACUUAUAAUUGUGGACAAGUUUCUAUUUAGAUGUGCUAUUUAUAUUGCAGUUCAUGAUAUUCAGUCUAUCAUAGGUCAAGAUUUUGUACCUAAUAAUGUGGACAUGGGAAUGUACAAUGUGUUGCUGUCAGACAUGGAAAUGCAUCAAAUUAAUGUUGUUAAAAUGGUUGAUAUUGCUAAGGCCUGUCCAAGGCAGGCCUGUUGCUUAUACACAACCAAGAAUUUUGGGUGUGAGCUUGGAGCUCUGUCUAAAUAUGCCGAGAAAACUUCAAUUUUAUAUGAUAACGGAGCUCGUGAAUGCAAAACUUGAUGGCUUACUGGAACUUUAUUAAAAAAUAUGUCAGGAGAGGCUUUGGAUCAAUCGUGGAAGAAGCUGAAACAGAAAGGUAUAAUCAGAAAGGAAGCACUAAAGAUGUCUCAUUUAAAGCAGUUAGCAAGAAGAAAGUAAAUGUAUUUGAUGAGAAUACUACACUUCUUUUGCAAUAGUUCCACAGUGAGUGGCGGGAAGAUAUUCAGAAAGAAAGUACAGGUAAGUUCUGAUCUUUUGAAAAUAUUUCUAUCAAGCCUUGAGUACUCAAUGCACUGAGUUUGGAUAAAUCUUGAUCUUGAUUCAUAACAGAGUACUUUGCCCAGAUUUAAACCAUGACAUGGGACAUGGCGAGUCAGGAAGAUGAACUUAUGAAGCCUCUUGCAGUUAUCAACUUGAAGGUUAAGUUAUAUUCUCUAAUAUAUUAUACUGACUAAAAGAAUGCAGUAAUUUAUGGUUGAAGAGUGCAAUAAUUUAUGUCUGAAAAAUAUAAUUUUUUCCUCAAGUUUCUUAGACACAUAUAAUAGAAAUUUCAAAACUAUAUUAUCAUCCAACAACAUUAACAUAACUAUGUCAUCUGAUAUAGGUGUUCAAAUACUAUAGAGAUUCAAAUUGAAAGUAAAAUACUCUGGCAACUAAUUUUAGUUAUGACAGUUAAGUAGUAAGAUGAUUUUGUAUUAACAUAUCCUAUUUUCCAGUAAUUUUUGGUUGUUUAGUUAUAAGUGGAUUGCCAAGCUUAAUUGGUUAGAAUAUUUGUACUUUUUUAUUAAUAAAAUUUAUUACUGUUUAAAAUUAGGGCAUAGUAUAAAAUCUUGAGAAACCCCUUCAGCAUGUGUUUAGAUAAGAAAUAAAUUAUAGAGUGUAUUGUUUUGUUAAGUUGAAUUAUAAUUUUUUUAAGCAGGCUGCAUGGCUUUCUUAUGACAUGAGAAUGGUGUAGGACGCGUCAUCUUGGCUAUUAGACAAAUUCAAUGGUAUAACUCGAGGCAUGUUAGUACAUACUGCAAGAGUGUUAAUUCAGGGGUGGCGAUGAACUGGAACUCAAGAAAUGUUAAUACAAGGGUGGUGAUGAGUUGAAGCCCAAAUCUAACUCAGAAAUGGCAAAAGGCAAGAGCAAAGAUUUCGAAAAAACAUUUCGGGACACAACUCUGAUCCUCAAGUUAACAACCAAAGGUGGCAAGCACCUCCACAUGGCAAGCUCAGAAUAAAUGUUGACGCCUCCGUAUGCUAAAAGUCUUUUUAUUUUUUGGUUGUUAUGCUACUAAGAGAUAAAGAUGGAACAUUUCUGAGAGGAAAAAAUCAUACAGUUCAAAAGAGAACAAUCUCAGUGUUUGAAGCAAAAUAACAUUCAGGAUAAAUGAGGUAUUUUCUUAGAUUUCUUCUCUCCAAAAUAAGAAUGUAAUUGUCGAGACGGACUCCUUAUUGUCCAUUUGACCUGUGGCGUUAAAGUCUGUAAUCUGCAGGACGUGGGCAACGUAGUAGGUACCUGCAGGUUGGAACUUCAGAAUAUGAAUGAUAUCUAUAUUCAGUAUGUUAAGAAAAUAUGUCUGUUUGUGGAAAUGCUAUAAUGAAACAAGGUCCCUCUCCUUCAAUUGGUGGAGAUAUGAUUUUAGAUUCUCUGUUGGUUUAAAAAUUAUGAUCUGGGUGUUUAAAGUACUCAGAUUAUUUGUGACUUAUAAAAUUUAAGGUGCUGAUUUCCGUUCCUCCUCACAGCCAGCUUCAUUAGCUGAUUUAUUAAGAAGAGUAUAUUUUGACUCUUCUAUCUUGAUGGUAGUUAAGUUGAGAAAAUAUUAAAUUAUUAAGUUGAUAUUAUUAAGUUUUAUCAACGCUAUAGAUUGUGUUUAGUUUAAACAAAUAAAUGCAGUAUUUAAUACAGUUAAAAUAAAUUUUUUUUAAAGGAGAUCCAUUUUAAUGUGCUGGGAUAUUUUUUUUUUUUUUGAUAAUAAAUGUACUGGGAUUGGUAUGCGUGAAUUAACAAGAUUUUAGCACGCGUAGCGCGGUCAAAGUGUAAUAACUGUAAUUCGUAUAACUUUUAAUAUCUUAUUGUAUUGCAUUAUGUCCCUAAAUUUAUUACCGAGCGCAUGUUCUUUCCUAUAAGUACUGGGAAUUAACAAUAACGAUUUAGAAAACUAUCAAUUAUAAGUUUAAUUGUUAUUUAACAUUUUUCGGAAACAUAUACAAUAAUCAACAUAUUUUAGUUAAGCAUUAUGUUAUUGUCAGUUUAAAAAAAUAAUUGAAGCUCGCCAAGCGCUUGCUGUCAGUAGAUCCAACAUGGAUAUUAUCUAACAUAAAUUUUCAUUAAGUUUAACCAUAACCAAUAGUAAGAGUAGUAAUCAUUUAUUUCAUGGCUGAGCAUAUUUUAAUAAUGAUUAUAAUACUGAUGUAAUCAUUUAUAACCAAUAGUAAAAAUAGUAAUCAUAUUUGCUAAAAAUUUGGCAAAUGUGCAUUCUAUUUCUUCCAAAUUAUUAACUAAAAUCGAAGUAAAUGUUCUACUCAUAAUAAAAAUAAUUUUAAUGGGAAAAUAUACAUUUCGCAAAUGUAUUAAAUAUGCAAAUUUUGUAAAAUUUUCAGUUUUUGUACGGGAGCUCGCGUAGCGCGGGCAUAAUUCCCUAGUAUAUAUAAAAGUUUCCAUAUUUAAUCAAAGCAAGGUUUCUGAUUAGUUACAUUCAAUUCAAAGAUGUGGAACAUAUCUGACAAAAAAACAACGGAGAAUAAUAAGGGUGUAAUAUGACAACAUAUUAUUUAUUCAAAAUAUUAUUAUCUCAGGUGGAAAUAUAAUUAUCUUCGAAACCUUGUCGAAAACGUUAUCCCCGCCUACUUCAAACCGAUCCCCGAACCCGUCCUCAUCCCCAAACGGGGAUUCUUUUGCUCACCAAUCCCCGCCCCCAACAGGGAACAUAAAUCCCCACAAAGUUCGGGAAAUUCAAGUUUUUUAACAAUAUUAUAAUAUAUUUAAUAAUAUAAAAUUUAAUUUAAAAUUAUAUUAAUAAGUCAUUAUACAUAAUAUUUUUCUACUUUUAUAUAACAUUUUCAGUACUAAUUCAAAUUAAUACUUAUUUAUAAUAAAAGUAGAAGAUAAAAUUAGAUUUAUUAUAAUUAAUUUAUAUUAUAAUAUGAAAAUAUUUAAGUAAUUACAUGAUGAGGAUUAUUUAAAUUAUAUAUAAUAUAAUAUAUUUAUAAUUGAUCAUUAAUAUUAUAUUAAUAAAUAAAUAUAAUAUUUAUAUUAUAUUUUAAAAUAAGGAGUUUCGGAGUGGACCGAAAAGGAAAGACAUGAUCCCCGAAUUUUUAGUAAUUACCCCGAUCGUCGUCAGGUAAACGAAAAAAUCUCCUAUUCCUUAAUACGAAUGAGGCGGGAAUCGGAUCGAGGUCGAACAGGACAGCGAGAUUGUUAGUCACUACUUAUAAAUAAAUUUAUCAAAACACUUAAUUUAUUUAUUUAUUUAUUUUUAUGAAAAAACACUCAAUUUAUUAAUUAGUUAUUACUUAUAACUAACAUAUAAAAUAAAUGAGGUAUUUUUUUUUCAAUCGAAGCCAAACGGCACCGGAAUAAGAACAUUUUCUCCCCGUAUAAACUCGUGUGUUAUUUGGGUUUACACACAGUUUUCCGCCCUAAGAACCAAGCUGCUCUCCUUCAUCCCUCUUUUGCCUCUUGCCCUAUUAUAUGCUCUUCACUCACUUUUUCUAGGUAAUUUCAUACAUAAUUAUGCACACACACACAUAUGCUAAUAUAAUCUUAUAAUGCUGCGAUAAGCAUUGUUAAUCUCUCCAAGUUUGGAUUUUUUUGUUACCCAUUUGCUUAAACUGUCGUAUUUGGAUGUUUUUGUGGGUCUUGAUACUGUAAUAUAGCUUGAUAGUGGUGAUUUUGAAUACUGAUUAGCUGCUAGACCAGAAAAUUACAUUGUUUCUUGAUUUGACAAUUUGCAGUACUGAUUGUUUUGUUAAGUACAUUUAAAUAUAAUUUAGUGUUAUGAUUUGCAAAAGGGUACUUUUAAUAAAUAUAUUGAGAAACAUGUGCACGAAUAUGUGUUAAUAUUAUCAUAUAAAGCUAUGAGUAGGACUCGUUAAUCUCUCCAAGUUUCGAUUAAUUUAUUACCUAUUUGCUAAAAAAUUGUUUUUUAAUGUUAUUGUGGGUUCUUGAUGGUAUAUGAUAGCUUGAUAGUGGUGAUUUCGAUUACUGAUUAGCUACUGGAUUAGAAAAUUUGAUUGUUUGUUUCUUGAUUUUAUUUGAUAAUUUGCAGUACUACUUGUUGUGUUAAGUACAUAGAAGUUAAUGUUAUGAUUUGCAAAAGGGUACUUUUAGGAUAUAUAUUUUGUGAAACAUGGUCUAACUAGUGAAGAAAAUUUCAGUAGAUUCAAUAAAUGUGAUGUUUUGAGUAUAUGUUCAAUUGGAGGUCUAUGUGAUUUUUUGUGAUGCCCUUGAUAGAACUAGAUUUAGUUAUAUGGAGUAUUAGAGUUCAUGUGCAAUUGAAGGUCUGAAGAUUUGUGUUAUUGUUUUUGUAGUUUUGUUUAAGUUUUGAAUUCUUAUGCGGCUAUAAAGAAUAUUUUGUGUCUGGUUUACAUUAUGGAUUGCAUUUACUGCUUUAAUGAUUUCAAGGUAUUGUUUGUUGACCCAAGUUCGAGUGACUCAAUGACUUGUGUUGGUGUUUGUGAAAUUUUGUUUAAAUUGAAUAUUUAUGCAGAUGUUUAGUUUUGUUUGAACUCUAAUGUUUAUGCAGCUUUUAAGCUUAAUUCCAAUCCAGUCUGCAUGAUGGACUCUGUUCAAGUGUUCAUUAUUAACUAUUUUAUUGUAUUGUUUGACGACAUAAGUUUGAGUGACCUGGGAUGAACUUGGGGUUUUACUUGUGAGCUCUUAAUUUUCUUCCUAAUUAUGGAUUUUCUCUCCUUCACAUUACAUAUAUGUGUAUAUAUCUAAUACUUUAAAUCAUUUGUCUACCAAUCAGAGACCCAAGCUAAUGGAGUUGUCUGCACGAUGCCAAUCUUGCGGCGAACGGUCUCUGGUCACUGAUGAAGUUUCUGAAAAUUUAAUCUGCACAACAUGUGCUGUUGUUCAGGAUUACAACAAUUUUCAGGCCCAUGUUGGUGGUAUUAGUGGCCCGGCUGGCACAUAUGUCCGCACUGGCACAUCAGGCUCUGGCAAUAAUUAUUCGUAUAAAGAAAGCAAAAUAUAUAAAGCUGGGGUUCUUAUUGAUGAUAUUUUGUUCAAAUUGAAUUUUUCUGUUUCAUCGAUAGAUGAGGUUAAAAAAAUGAUUGUGACUAUUACUGAAGGUGAGUAUGGUCAAGGUGAUUGGUUUAGUAUAUUUGUUGGUGCGUGUGCUUAUGUUGUUCGGAGGAAAAAUGGGAACCUUCUGCCUAUGACGGAUGUGGCUGCUGUAGUCUGCUGUGAUACACUGAUACUUAUGAGUUAGGAAGAAUGGUUAAUCGAGUUGUUAGUUUUCUUGACUUGAAGUUGCCUGAAUUUGAUAUUGUUUAUUUGUAUGAAACUACACUUAGAAAUAGCCCGAGCUUUAGCUGCAUUGAAGCUGAGAAAAAGGAGGUGAUGUUAAAACAGGGGGUGUUUUUGGUGCAGUGUUUAAUAAAGUGGUUUGUGACAACGGGGAGAAGGCCAGUGCAGGUUGUAGUGUCAGUGUUGGUAUUUAUUGGACAGUUAAAUCAGUUAAAUGUUAAAAUUGAGGAUUUGGCUAGUGAAUUGAAUGUGCCUGCUGUCACUUGUCGAUUGAGGUACAAGGAGUUGUUAGAGAGGCUUGUGGAGGUUGCAAGAGUGUUGCCAUGGGGAAAAGAUGUUAAUAUAAAGAAUAUUGUGAAAUUUGCACCAUAUGUCAUUCAAUAUAUGGAAAUGAAGUCGAUGGGUAAUGGUCUAAAACAGAUAAAAAAUUCAGAUAAUGUGGGAUUUGACAUUGCUUAUUUUUUGAGUGAUUGUUUGCAGGAAAGAUCAGAUAACAUGAUUGAUUCAUAUAGGUCUUGUGAGGGGGAUGAUUUUUUUUCACACAAUACUGAGCAAGAACAAUCACCUAGUCUGGAUUAUGCUAAUCUGGAUAAGUUUAAUAUUUCACCUGAAUGCUUGAAAAUGAUUUAUUCCAAGUGCAUGGAAGAGGUUUCUGAUUUUCGUUCCACAUCGGAGUUUGGAAAGGAAAAUAGAAAGAGAAGGAAGAGACAUGACAACUACCUUGACUGUACAGACUGGUGGAAAGGCAAGUCAGAACUCAGCAAAAAACUCUCUCUCAAGAAGAUAUUGGAGAAAGAUGUAGGAAUGGAUGUGAUGCCUCCAGCAUUCGUUAAUGGAUGCUUGACAUACCAGAUGAGAAGAGAUAAGAUUGAGGCGGCUAAGGCACGCAUUAAAAACAUCAUGUUUCCAUCGAAUGCUGGUUUACAUGCUGGGUNUUGAAUUUUUCGGUUCCAUCUAUAGAUGAGGUUAAAAAAAUGAUUGUAACUAUUACUGAAGGUGAGUAUGGUCAAGGUGAUUGGUUUAGUAUAUUUGUUGGUGCGUGUGCUUAUGUUGUUCGGAGGAAAAAUGGGAACCUUCUGCCUAUGACGGAUGUGGCUGCUGUAGUCUGCUGUGAUACUUAUGAGUUAGGAAGAAUGGUUAAUCGAGUUGUUAGUUUUCUUGACUUGAAGUUGCCUGAAUUUGAUAUUGUUUAUUUGUAUGAAACUACACUUAGAAAUAGCCCGAGCUUUAGUUGCAUUGAAGCUGAGAAAAAGGAGGUGAUGUUAAAACAGGGGGUGUUUUUGGUGCAGUGUUUAAUAAAGUGGUUUGUGACAACAGGGAGAAGGCCGGUGCAGGUUGUAGUGUCAGUUUUGGCAUUUAUUGGACAGUUAAAUCAGGUAAAUGUUAAAAUUGAGGAUUUGGCUAGUGAAUUGAAUGUGCCUGCUGUCACUUGUAGAUUGAGGUAUAAGGAGUUGUUAGAGAGGCUUGUGGAGGUUGCAAGAGUGUUGCCAUGGGGAAAAGAUGUUAAUGUAAAGAAUAUUGUGAAAUUUGCACCAUAUGUCAUUCAAUAUAUGGAAAUGAAGUCGAUGGGUAAUGGUCUAAAACAGAUAAAAAAUUCAGAUAAUGUGGGAUUUGACAUUGCUUAUUUUUUGAGUGAUUGUUUGCAGGAAAGAUCAGAUAACAUGAUUGAUUCAUAUAGGUCUUGUGAGGGGGAUGAUUUUUUUUCACACAAUACUGAGCAAGAACAAUCACCUAGUCUGGAUUAUGCUAAUCUGGAUAAGUUUAAUAUUUCACCUGAAUGCUUGAAAAUGAUUUAUUCCAAGUGCAUGGAAGAGGUUUCUGAUUUUCGUUCCACAUCGGAGUUUGGAAAGGAAAAUAGAAAGAGAAGGAAGAGACAUGACAACUACCUUGACUGUACAGACUGGUGGAAAGGCAAGUCAGAACUCAGCAAAAAACUCUCUCUCAAGAAGAUAUUGGAGAAAGAUGUAGGAAUGGAUGUGAUGCCUCCAGCAUUCGUUAAUGGAUGCUUGACAUACCAGAUGAGAAGAGAUAAGAUUGAGGCGGCUAAGGCACGCAUUAAAAACAUCAUGUUUCCAUCGAAUGCUGGUUUACAUGCUGGGUACAGCCAUUGCCUUUCAACAACUGCUAAAAAGGAGAAGAAGAAAAAGAAACGACAUGUAGAUGUUGAUUGGGAAGAUCUUAUAAUUGAAACUCUUCUUCUGCAUCAGGUGAAGGAAGAAGAAAUAGAGAAGGGGUAUUACAAAACCUUGAUGGACUUGCAUGUUUUUAACUCAGGUUGUUUUGAAUGAUCUCAACUGUACGCAGGUAUAUUCAGCUGCAGUGAGACAUCCUGGAAGAGAUUAUGCUGGCGAUAGAUGGAUUCAUCUUUUAUUUGUAAUCGGAGAUUGAUACAUGAACAUGUUUUUUUUUGAUGAUGAGCAUUGAGUGAAAUUAUAAGAUAUAAAUAUAACCGGAGAUUGUGCUUAGACUAAUAUAAUAUAACUUAUCGUAGUAGUUUUAGCUCUCAAUCUGUUGAUCACUUGCCCGUAAUUAAGGUAACUGACAUUGUUGGUAGUACCAUUAGUAGAUCCAGGGAUCUUGAUUAUCUUAUUCUGUCAUGAUGCAAAGACUUUUAGUGGCAUGGAACCUCGUCUAUUACAGGUUGAUUGGCCUUGUUUGUCUUCCUGGCUUUUAUACCAAUCGAGCUAUUAUACCAUACAGAAAAUUUUAGUCUUUCCCACCAGUUAUUGUGAUUCCUUGUGUCAGAUUAUUUGCAAAGUCUAGACAUUGUUUAUAAGAAUGUUAUUUUCUGCAUUUCGGCAGAAUUGCUAUUAUGUUCCUCCCAUAGCUGCAGCUGCAAGGACUCCUGGUUAGACUCUCCCCUCCCUCCCUUCACAGGCUGGAAAUAUUUUUAUUCAUGGACCCUGAACAUUUUCUUAUGCGGAUCUUUGCCUGUAAAACUUUAGUUAAGAGCUACUUGCCUGUUAGAGAUGCCAGGUUCGUCAUGGAAUUGAUGAUCUACUCAUGCAUCUUAAUUCUUACGGUAAGUAUUGAGGAAUAAAAUAUAAGGGUAGUUUUGUCAUUGCGGUAAAAUCUAUAUUGGACUAUAUAUAAAGUCCCACAGGUUUCAUUUCAGCGGUAAGGUUAAUUCAUAAUGUAGCCGAUUAAUAAAUUCUUUCCGUUUUUCUUCGUCUCUGUUCUAUCUCUAACAUAUUGAUAAAUAAGUAUUAUGCUUGUCAACAGGUAUCAGAGCCUUCGGUUCUAACCCAAGAUUUUUAACUCUGUGUUUUCUUCCGAGGGUUAGUGUGUUGAUUGGGUGCUGCAGCUUAUAUAUUUGAUGAAUUGUCUGACCCAGGGAUUCAUUAGCUGGUAACAUCUCUUAUUCAUCCGAAGUUUGCAAAGUUACAUAAUGAGUUAUCUUAGGAAUUUGUGCCCUAGUUGAAGAAGUUAUGGUUUGAGUUGUGAAAAUUAUAUGAGCUUUGUGAUAACAGAUAAGGUGUUUGACAGAAUUCCUAAAAGAAAUAAUGUUUCAUUGAGUUGUUUAUUUGUUCUGACCGAUUUCGUAGUUGUUCUUAAAAUACAUAUGGCUAGUGUCUGCUAAGUGUUUGAUUUAAUGUCACAUCAUUAUAUAUAUAGCCAUGUAAUAGAGGCCAAUUUAGAUUAGCAAAGGAUUAGUUCUUUGUCAUUGCUCUGUCUAUUCCUUGGAUUAUGCUAGAACCCGUCUUGCAAAUGAUGUAAAGACUGCAAAGAAGGAUGGAAAGAGGCAGUUCAAUGGAUUGGUUGAUGCUCCUUAAGUGAGCUUGUUCCCUUUGUGGUUUGUGCUUUUUCAUGGGUUGUAAGGUUCCUCAUUAUAAACUAGUAUCUUCUUUCCAUUUUCAGGUCAGUUGAUAAGGCCCAUAUGAAGCUUGCUGGAGCAAAGUCUAUUCUUCGAUUAUCUAGAUAUUGGGAUCAAAAAGAUUCCCCUUGAUCUCUUCUACUCUACCCUAAGAAUUUCCGAGGUUAAGUCUUUAGCAUUUGAACUUAAAUAUAAAUAUAUAAAAUGAUAGUAUAUAUUGUACUUUUUUAAUAUUCACUUGUGUUCUCCUUGCACAUUGUUGCAUACCUUAUUAUUGAAAUAUUACAAAUAGAUUAUGUUUUGAUCCUUUUGCUUGACACAUGUAGGUUGAUUUUCCUCAAGUUGAAAAACUAUAUCUGAGAAGUGAGAAAUGUUCACCCAUACAUUAAGGAUCGCCUUUUGGACCCCAAAUAUGCUUGUGCAUUCUUAUCUAAUGAAAUCUAACAAUCUUUCUGCAACCAGAAUCAAUGUGUAUUUUGUAUCACUAACUGCUAGUCUUGCUUAGUGAUGAUUAUAUACAAUGACUGAAUAUAAAGUUUGUCAUGCCAGCUGGAGAGUAAUGGAAUGCCAGCUGGAGAGAGUGGUGGAAUAUGGCAUGGAUCACAUGUAUUGCAGCAUACUAAAGCUUAACCUGGAUAUUUUAUGGUAAACAAUAUUUACCCAAUACUACACAAUAAUUCACAAUAAAAAAUAUAAUCUAUAAAAAUAUAAAGAAUAGAUUUACUAUAUAAUUUGUAAUGUGAAAACGUUUUGAGUAAUUAGGUUGACAAAAUGAAAAUACAAGAGACGAGACGAAGAAGAAAAAGAAGUUGUUGGGCCUCAGCCCGGAAGAGUGAGGAAGACUAACCUAGCCCAGUAAGCAAGCACAGGCAGGUGACGUGGUAUAAUUAUAGCGGAGAAGCUAUGGCUAAAAGGGUUUGAAAUUCAGAGCAGAGAAAAGGGGGAGGGUUUGUACUAUUAGACUAUCAAAUAACGGUUGCAUUCACAAGGGAGUAAUUGAGUGCGUAUAUAAGAACAGGAGGGCAGAGAUGAGUCAUUACAUCAAAUAUUACUCUGAAGAGUUGAUAACCUUGACGGAUUGUACUUGUCCUAGUUUUUCUCCAUCUACAGCAAGCAUAACAUUUGGAAGAAAUUCCCUAAUUGUUGCUCAUAUAGAAGUCAACAAGUUUUGAGGGUAAUCAUUAUCCAUUUACUGAGAAGGCGGAAAGAAUAAUAAUUACCCUCAAAACUUGUUAGAAUUCUAUAUGGGCAACAAUUAUGAAAUUUCUUUGAGAUGUUAUGCUUGCUGCAGCAGAUGGAGAACAACUGGGACAAGCAGAUGUUGUUCUGGAGAUACAAAAGUGCGCCACAAAUAUUUAUUUAUAUGAAGAAAUUUCCAUAACCGCAACGUCUAAAAGGACACCCGAAGGUGUCGAGCAUAUAAUUUCUUGUAUGUCCUUGAACCUAUUUGUUCUUCUGGACAUUUUCAACUAUAUUUUGUUCUUUACUUGGGUGAUUAUUUGUUGAUCUGUUUAUUUGGUUCUUUGACAGUGGAUGAAAUCGCCUAUUAAUUGUAAUGAACCUCGGUCUCUCACAUCCCAGCAGCUGAGGAGAUCUUAAGUAAUAGUUGGAGAUGAGGGGUAUACCGUCCCUUCUUAGAAAGGUAAAUAACCAUUCUUUUAGGGAAUAAAUAGAUAACAGUUCUCUUCACAUUCAAUAUCCUCUAAAAUUUUAAGUACAUGAAUGUCGUAUAACUAUUUGUAUUGGUGGCCUAUGGAAUUUUAAGUGUAUAUACAUAAAAAUUUUAUAUCAUAACUUCAAUUUUUAAAAUUUUCACUGUCCGACACGCACUUCAAUGCUCUUAUAAAAUAUGGUUCUAUAACUUAUUUUUAAAAUUUUCGUCUUCUGAAUAAAAAUAUAACAUUCAAACUUUUAUACAGAAAAGAAAAAUCUUAAAAAUAAGUUAUAGAACUAUACUUUACAGGAGCAUUAAAGUCCGUGCCGCAUCCCCGUCCCCCAAUGUAUAUAACUCAUGGGGACGGAGGGAGUAACAGUUUGGAUAAAAAAUAAAGGGUACUUCUUAAUAAAAAACUGAUGAAGGUUUAAUUCGUUGUGUUUUAGAUAUUGACUUGUAUCUUUGACUAUUUGGUUUGACUGGAAGGAAACUCUUAAUUCUGUUAAUGAAGUUUCAUAUAUGACAUCUUCACAUCAUAUAUAUGCAUGUAGUAUUUUGUAUAUAUAUAUCCUAUCCUCUUAAUCCUGAAUCAUAUUUGUCGAAUUUAUGUAUCCUGGUAUAUUGCCCCCACGCCGGGGUUCUUGUUCUGCUCAAAAUCUCCCAAGUUCAUUUUGUUUUCUAUCUAGUAAAUUGUCUGCAAAACUGUAUAUUUGUCUGCUUUGCAGUGGAUGAAUUGGAACAACAUAUGCCCAGCAAGUCAAUUGAACCUCGGUCCGUCACUUCCCAACCAACAAAAUCUGUAAAAAUCUUAGAAGAUGAGAGAAAUACUGUCAUAAGCGAACUUCGGGGCAGGGACGGAGCCAUGAAGACUCAUCAUUCUGCUUUGGGAGGAACUUCUGAAGAGAUUGUUAAAGAGCAUGCUGUGGCGGUUGAAAGGGGUAACACUGCCACUUAAUUUCUGGAAUAAACUACAAACGUGCAUAUUGAGCUUAAUACACAAGCGCGCAACUGCACAUGAAUAUAUUACAUUAUUUGCAUAUGACUAAACUGGAAGCUGGAUUUUUAUUUCAUUGGUGGAUUUACUGUAGAUGAACCCAUAGAAGAAUCAGCUGCUGAUGACUUUGAGUAUGCUGCGAGGUAUGAAGACGUGGGACAUGCUAUGAUUACUGCAUCUCAGCCUUCCAGUUUGCAAACCAUGAAAUCGUUGCCUCAACAAGUCAAUAUGAAAAAGAUGGUGUUAGAAAAUGAAGGAGAUGCAUCCACUCAACUUCCCUGCAAUUUGCAACGGUGUGAGGAUGGCACUGAACAAGAGGAACAAGUUUUGGAGAUGCAAAAGAGUACCCCAAUCAUUAACUCACAUAAAGGUAUUGCCAAAGGCGAAACGUCAAGUUAUACACCUGACAAUAUUCUGAGGACAUUCAUUGUUGGUCUUUCUACCUAUAUGUUUUGCUCGAUAUUUCAUAUCAUGCCUGUGCUCCUUUAAUGGUCAAAUAUCUGCUUGGUUGCUUUGCAGUGGAUAAAUUGCAAGAAGCGCCACCU